AGGACGAACGCUGGCGGCGUGCUUAACACAUGCAAGUCGAGCGGAAAGGCCCUUCGGGGUACUCGAGCGGCGAACGGGUGAGUAACACGUGAGCAACCUGCCCCUGGCUCUGGGAUAGCCUCCGGAAACGGGGAUUAAUACCGGACAUUCACUGCCUGCCGCAUGGUGGGUGGUGGAAAGUUUUUCGGCCAGGGAGGGGCUCGCGGUCUAUCAGCUUGUUGGCGGGGUAACGGCCCACCAAGGCGACGACGGAUAGCCGGCCUGAGAGGGCGAUCGGCCACACUGGGACUGAGACACGGCCCAGACUCCUACGGGAGGCAGCAGUGGGGAAUAUUGCACAAUGGGCGCAAGCCUGAUGCAGCGACGCCGCGUGGGGGAUGAAGGCCUUCGGGUUGUAAACCCCUUUCACCAGGAGCGAAUUCAGACGGUACCUGGGGAAGAAGCGCCGGCUAACUACGUGCCAGCAGCCGC
rnacentral:rRNA from 1 species